UCAGACUCAGAGAGUAAUGUGCAGUCUCUCUCCUGGCUCCUGCUGUGUUUAUAUGUCAUCACAGCCUGUCUGUUCUGAGUUAGCAAAGCAAAAAUACGGAGUCCCGGCGGAAAAUAUAAUCUUGUAUGGGGAGAGCAUUGGGACGGCACCUACCGUUGACCUUGCCACACGAUACCAAUGUGCAGCAGUAAUUCUGCAUGCCCCGCUAAUGUCAGGGGUGCGGAUGGUCUAUCCUAACGUCCGGAGGACCUACUCUUGGGAUGCCUUCACCAAUGCAGUUCUUUUGCCUUCAGGGGGAUCCGGGGUGAAUGAUUGGCACCUGGAGUCUGGUAACCAGGCAAGGAAAGCCGUGUUGCCAUGGAGAAGCCGACGCCAGUGGGCUGACGUCACCGGAAAUGACACCUGCGGACGGAAGUCGCGGUAGACGCUGACCGGACCCGGCUCUCUCUGAUGGUGGGGGUCUCAGCUUAUUUAAUAAAGAAGCAGACGCCCACACUCUAAGAAAGCCGUGGGGAUUGCUUUGCUUUGGAACUGCAUCUUUCUACGGGUCCAAAACAACCUACAGUGUGCAACAAACAACAUGUGAAAUAAAA